GGGUAGGUAGCUCAGCUGGUAGAGCAACGGACUGAAAAUCCGUGUGUCGCCGGUUCAACUCCGGCCCUGCCCA
rnacentral:tRNA from 1 species